AUUGAACGCUGGCGGCAUGCCUUACACAUGCAAGUCGAACGGCAGCGGACCUUCGGGUGCCGGCGAGUGGCGAACGGGUGAGUAAUAUAUCGGAACGUACCUUUCAGUGGGGGAUAACGUAGCGAAAGUUACGCUAAUACCGCAUAUUCUGUGAGCAGGAAAGCAGGGGAUCGCAAGACCUUGCGCUGAUUGAGCGGCCGAUAUCAGAUUAGCUAGUUGGUGAGGUAAAGGCUCACCAAGGCGACGAUCUGUAGCGGGUCUGAGAGGAUGAUCCGCCACACUGGAACUGAGACACGGUCCAGACUCCUACGGGAGGCAGCAGUGGGGAAUUUUGGACAAUGGGCGCAAGCCUGAUCCAGCCAUGCCGCGUGAGUGAUGAAGGCCUUCGGUUGUAAGACUCUUUCGUCCACGACGAUGAUGACGGUAGUGGGAGAAGAAGACCCGGCUAACUUACGUGCCAGCAGCCGCGGU
rnacentral:rRNA from 1 species